GACGAACGCUGGCGGCGUGCUUAACACAUGCAAGUCGAACGAUGAUGCUGGAGCUUGCUCCAGUUGAUUAGUGGCGAACGGGUGAGUAACACGUGAGCAAUCUGCCCUUGACUCUGGGAUAACUGCGGGCAACUGUAGCUAAUACCGGAUACUUUCACCGGAAGGCAUCUUCUGGUGAUGAAAGAAUUUCGGUCAGGGAUUAGCUCGCGGCCUAUCAGCUUGUUGGUGAGGUAACGGCUCACCAAGGCGACGACGGGUAACCGGCCUGAGAGGGUGACCGGUCACACUGGGACUGAGACACGGCCCAGACUCCUACGGGAGGCGGCAGUGGGGAAUAUUGCACGAUGGGCGCAAGCCUGAUGCAGCAACGCCGCGUGAGGGAUGAAGGCCUUCGGGUUGUAAACCUCUUUUAGCAGGGAAGAAGCGAAAGUGACGGUACCUGCAGAAAAAGCACCGGCUAACUACGUGCCAGCAGCCGCCGUAA
rnacentral:rRNA from 1 species